GUAGGGUGGCAAGCGUUGUCCGGAUUUACUGGGCGUAAAGAGCGCGCAGGCGGCCGAGUAAGUCGAAUGUGAAAGCCCCCCGGCUCAACUGGGGAGGGUCAUUCGAUACUGUUCGGCUUGAAGAUAGGAGAGGGAAGCGGAAUUCCCGGUGUAGUGGUGAAAUGCGUAGAUAUCGGGAGGAACACCAGUGGCGAAGGCGGCUUUCUGGCCUAUUCUUGACGCUGAGGCGCGAAAGCUAGGGGAGCGAACGGGAUUAGAUACCCCGGUAGUCCUAGCUGUAAACGAUGGACACUAGAUGUUGGUGGUAUCAACCCCGCCAGUGUCGUAGCUAACGCAUUAAGUGUCCCGCCUGGGGAGUACGGCCGCAAGGCUA
rnacentral:rRNA from 1 species